rnacentral:rRNA from 1 species
CACCCCCAACAGCUAGCCCCCUGCUAAAAAAACAACAAACAACAUUAAUAACCCCUUAGGAACUAAACCUAAAUAAACAAACCAUUUUUCCCCCCUAGUAUGGGAGACAGAAAAGGGCCUAGGCGCUAUAGAAAAAGUACCGUAAGGGAAAGCUGAAAGAGAAGUGAAAAAACGCAGUAAAGGGUAAGAAAGCAGAGACAAAACCUCGUACCUUUUGCAUCAUGAUUUAGCCAGUUUUUACGAGCAAAGAGCCACUUUAGUUCGAAACCCCGAAACUGGGCGAGCUACUCCAAGACAGCCUACCAUAGGGCAAACCCGUCUCUGUGGCAAAAGAGUGGGAAGAGCUUUGAGUAGAGGUGACAGACCUACCGAGCCCAGUCAUAGCUGGUUGCCUGAGAACUGAAUAGAAGUUCGACCUUUAAAAUUUUCACACCCUAAGAGGUCCAACCGAAACCGGACAUGAGAAAUUUAAAGAGCAAUUCACGAGAGGGACAGCUCUCAUGAAAAAAGAUACAACUUUGUUAGAAGGUAAAAGAUUAAACAAUUAAAGGACAAGCGCCCAGGUGGGCCUAAAAGCAGCCAACCUAAUAGAAAGCGUUAAAGCUCAAGACUUAAUACCCCUAUAAUUUCAAAAAAUAACUCUUACACCCCUUAAAAUAUCAGGCCCUUCCAUGCACCCAUGGAAAAGAUCCUGCUAAAAUGAGUAAUAAGAAAGCCAAGACUUUCUCCCAUGCGCCUCUGUAAUCAGAACAGACACUAACUGAAAAUUAACGCCCCCAAAACCAGAGGGAAGUGAGUCAACCCAACCAAAUCUAGAAACCCACUCACAAAAUAACUGUUAACCCCACACAGGAGCGCCGAAGGAAAGACAGAAGGAAAAAGAAGGAACUCGGCAAACACUGGCCUCGCCUGUUUACCAAAAACAUCGCCUCUUGCAGAGCCUGUAUAAGAGGUCCCGCCUGCCCUGUGACGUAAGUUUAACGGCCGCGGUAUUUUGACCGUGCGAAGGUAGCGUAAUCACUUGUCUUUUAAAUAAAGACCUGUAUGAAUGGCAUAACGAGGGCUAAGCUGUCUCCUUUUUCCAGUCAAUGAAAUUGAUCUGCUCGUGCAGAAGCGGGCAUUCUAACAUAAGACGAGAAGACCCUAUGGAGCUUAAGACACAAGAACAGACUACGUAAAACCCCCUUAGUAAAAAGGACUAAAACCAAGUAGCCACUGCUCCCAUGUCUUUGGUUGGGGCGACCGCGGGGGAACAAAGAGCCCCCACGUGGAAUGGGAUUAUGUCCCUAAUGCCAGAGCUACAGCUCUAACAAAUAGAAAGUCUAGCCAACAUGAUCCGGUAAAACCGAUCAACGGACCGAGUUACCCUAGGGAUAACAGCGCAAUCCUCUUUUAGAGCCCAUAUCGACAAGGGGGUUUACGACCUCGAUGUUGGAUCAGGACAUCCUAAUGGUGCAGCCGCUAUUAAGGGUUCGUUUGUUCAACGAUUAAAGUCCU